UCUCUUGGAGUUCUAGUCACCUUUCUGGUGUUGUUCUUGUACUCAUCUGUUUAAUCUAGUUCUGCCACUUCUUCUUGAACUUCUUGUUAGAUUUCAAGUCUGUAUUUUGUGUCCGUGACAAUUAGAGUGGUUAGUAAAUAAAUUUAAACAGAAUUGAUAUAGGAAAAUUUAUUUGGAAAUUUAUCUAUUUUGAUUAUAGUAUUUAUAUUUUGUUGGAUUUAGAUAUUUAGUAUAAAACUUAAGAAAAGGUUGGAAUCUAAAGAUGAAAGUUUGAACUAUUAGGAGGCUUAUUGGGAGGGAUGAAAGCAAGGCAUGGUUGGAUGAAGCUAAGGAAUAGAGAUCUUCAUUCCUAUUGGUCGAAGGCCAUAUCCAAUGGACUUCAAGGAGGCUGCUUGAGGCCUUAUUAGAGAUUAGGG
rnacentral:lncRNA from 1 species